rnacentral:tRNA from 1 species
GCUCUAGAUAACUUUGUAAGUUUAGGUCUUUUAAACCUAAAAAAGUAGCUAUAGCCCUACUUCUAGUG